rnacentral:rRNA from 1 species
UACAGAGGGUGCGAGCGUUGUCCGGAAUCACUGGGCGUAAAGGGCGCGUAGGCGGCUCGGUAAGCGGGUGGUGAAAGCCCGGGGCUCAACCCCGGGUCGGCCAUGCGAACUGUCGAGCUGGAGCACGGUAGAGGCACAUGGAAUUCCGGGUGUAGCGGUGGAAUGCGUAGAGAUCCGGAAGAACACCGGUGGCGAAGGCGGUGUGCUGGGCCGUAGCUGACGCUGAGGCGCGACAGCGUGGGGAGCAAACAGG